GAGUUUGAUCAUGGCUCAGAACGUACGCUGGCGGCACGCCUAAUACAUGCAAGUCGAACGAAGUAGCAAUACUUAGUGGCAGACGGGUGAGUAACAUGUGGGUAUCUUCCCUUUGGUGAGGAAUAACACGAGGAAACUUGUGCUAAUACCUCAUAAGUCUUUACGGAGAAAGCUUUAUGCGCCAAUGGAUGAGCCUGCACUUGAUUAGUUUGUUGGUGGGGUAAUGGCCUACCAAGACUGUGAUCAAUAGCUGAUUUGAGAGGAUGAUCAGCCACAUUGGGACUGAGACACGGCCCAAACUCCUACGGGAGGCAGCAGUAGGGAAUCUUGCACAAUGGAGGAAACUCUGAUGCAGCGAUGCCGCGUGAGUGAAGAAGGCCUUUGGGUUGUAAAGCUCUUUCGUCGGGGAAGAAAAUGACUGUACCCGAAUAAGAAGGUCCGGCUAACUUCGUGCCAGCAGCCGCGGUAAUACGAAGGGACCUAGCGUAGUUCGGAAUUACUGGGCUUAAAGAGUUCGUAGGUGGUUAAAAAAGUUGGUGGUGAAAGCCCAGAGCUUAACUCUGGAACGGCCAUCAAAACUUUUUAGCUAGAGUAUGAUAGAGGAAAGCAGAAUUUCUAGUGUAGAGGUGAAAUUCGUAGAUAUUGGAAAGAAUACCAAUUGCGAAGGCAGCUUUCUGGAUCAUUACUGACACUGAGGAACGAAAGCAUGGGUAGCGAAGAGGAUUAGAUACCCUCGUAGUCCAUGCCGUAAACGAUGUGUGCUAGACGUUGGAAAUAUAUUUUUCAGUGUCGCAGCGAAAGCAUUAAGCACACCGCCUGGGGAGUACGACCGCAAGGUUAAAACUCAAAUGAAUUGACGGGGACCCGCACAAGCAGUGGAGCAUGUGGUUUAAUUCGAAGAUACGUGCAGAACCUUACCAACACUUGACAUGUUCGUCGCGAGACUAAGAGAUUAGUCUUUUCAGUUAGGCUGGACGAAACACAGGUGCUGCAUGGCUGUCGUCAGCUCGUGUCGUGAGAUGUUGGGUUAAGUCCCGCAACGAGCGCAACCCCUACUUUUAGUUGCCACCAUUUAGUUGGGCACUUUAAAAGAACUGCCAGUGAUAAGCUGGAGGAAGGUGGGGAUGACGUCAAGUCCUCAUGGCCCUUAUGUGUUGGGCUACACACGUGCUACAAUGGUACUUACAAUGGGAAGCAAAGAUGCAAGUCCUAGCCAAUCCCUAAAAUGUACCUCAGUUCGGAUUGUACUCUGUAACUCGAGUGCAUGAAGCUGGAAUUGCUAGUAAUCGCGGAUCAGCGCGCCGCGGUGAAUACGUUCCCGGGUCUUGUACACACCGCCCGUCACACCAUGGAAGUUUGUUACACCUUAAGGCAAAGCUUAUACCUUUGACUACGGUACGAUCAGCAACUGGGGUGAAGUCGUAACAAGGUAACC
rnacentral:rRNA from 1 species